rnacentral:rRNA from 1 species
CAGCCGCCGCGGUAAUACGUAGGUGGCAAGCGUUGUCCGGAAUUAUUGGGCGUAAAGGGCUCGCAGGCGGUUUCUUAAGUCUGAUGUGAGAGCCCCCGGCUCAACCGGGGAGGGUCAUUGGAAACUGGGAAACUUGAGUGCAGAAGAGGAGAGUGGAAUUCCACGUGUAGCGGUGAAAUGCGUAGAGAUGUGGAGGAACACCAGUGGCGAAGGCGACUCUCUGGUCUGUAACUGACGCUGAGGAGCGAAAGCGUGGGGAGCAAACAGGAUUAGAUACCCCCGUAGUCCCUGUCUCUUAUAU